AUGGAAAGCUAUUGUAAAAGUGAAGGAGACUUAUUUGGCAGGGAGGGGGUGAUUCUGAACUCUGGGAAUAUAGCCAGGGUAUGGAAUGAUCCAAUUAGGGGUGCUUCUCCCUUGCGUUGUAAAUUCCCGGCCCUGUUCAGUAUAUGUAAUUAUCAGGAAAUUACAGUUGCUAACAUCAAAAUUUUUGAGGGUGAUGACCUUUUUAGAAGGAACCUCCACCUGCCUCUUAUGGAUCAGUGGAACGAUCUGGUUGGGGUGGUUAACUCUUGGCAUCUUUUCGAUGAGACAGAUGGCAUUCUAUGGAGAUUGGGAAGUAAAGGUAAAUUCUCGACCAAAUCGGUAUAUUCCUAUCUGGAGAGAAAUCAGGCAGGAUGUGAUUUCAGGUGGAUAUGGAAAGCAAAAAUCCCUUUAAAAAUUCAGAUUUUUCUCUGGCAACUAUUCCAAGAUGCGGUUUUGACUCGAGAUGUCAUGAGAAGACGAAAAUGGGCAGGAAAUCCUAAAUGCUCGUUCUGUAAUGAAGUGGAAACCUCACAACAUCUCUUUUUCACUUGUCCUGUGGCUAGGGUGGUGUGGAGGACAGUUGGGUGUGUUUUUGGCACAUCGAUGUGCCCAAACAACCUUUGGCAGUAUUUCUCCUGGUGUUACAUCUUCCUCCCUGAUGGGGCUAAAUUUUAA
rnacentral:rRNA from 1 species